GCGCGAUUCUCGAAUGUAGGAUGAUUUAAGCCUCCUAGAAAUGCGUUUAGAUCUCCAGGAAUUGUCUGACAACACUUUGUCUUGUCGACUUGAUCUUCGGGCAGAACUCCGUUAGUCGAUUCGUUGAAGAGUUGUGUAGUCAAUGCAAAAGCUUCCUCCAAUGCUUGCUGAAUGACCUCAGAAAAUUAUGUAACCCUCCUAUUUAUAGUUGUAGGGGUAGGCAGUCCAAGUGUAAAUAAUCUUUUCUGCCUCAUUCUGAUUGGUCCAUUCAAUUUUCAAGCUUAUCACAAAUGUUAUGUGACAAGGUUGCUUGUAAUUGGCCAAAAACAUAUCAUUUGGGACACUUGGCGAUGUUUCAUUGGCUCUUGAAUUUGACUUGGAUUACCACUUUAUUUGAUCGUUUGGCCUUGCCUCAUUGGUCUUUAAUUUGACUGGGAUGCCAUGUCAUUUGACACGUAGCAUGAGUUUGGGCCUCAAGGUGAGAUGGACUUUGAUGAAGAAUAAAACAGGUUUAUAGCCCAAACUAAUUUUAGACCCAAUAAAAUAUGGAUCAAAUUCAAAUUUUAUAUGAAUUUGAUUCAAUAAAUUUUACGUGUCUACAAGUCCCAUGUUCAUAAUUUGAUUUGCAGGUACUUCAAAUGGCAAUAUCUAAACGAACAUACAUGUACGUUUUUACAGAAUAUGGUUGAAUAGGGAAAUAAAGGAAUAGAACGAUUUCUUCACUAUUUGCUUCCGAUAGUACCAAAACCAAAUUGGAAAGAGAACAAAAUUCAACAAAGAAUACACAAAAUAUAACAUAGAGAGGAUAAUAAUUCUUGUCCAAUUCUGGAUUUUGUUUCUUUUUUUUUAUUUUUUUACAAGGAAUAACACCACCACAACAAGGUAUACACGCAUAUACAUAUUUUUACGGAUCUGGGUAUUCACAUAUGUAGAUGAUUUUUCUUUCUCAGGAUUGAAAGUAAUAUCUACCCACAAAGAUGAAAGAAUGACAACAUAAACUCAAAAACGAAAAUAUUACAUAUUCCUAAAAACAAAUAGACGAAGGGAAUGAGGUGAAAGGACGAAACUCGCACCUUUAUUGGCACAGCAAACAAGGACCGACGUCAAAUUUUUUGGCGACCCUGAACUCAACCCAGGACACCAAUUUUAACACGAAAACUAUAAAGAAGCCAGCUAUUUCAAGACCCAAUUUUGCUUGAACCUUUUCGAAGUAUAAGCUGCUCUCUCUUUUGAUUUUUCUCUCUGUUUUUCUUCCAAAUUUUGCUCUAAUUUCAAACCCCUUUAUCUCAAAAACCUCUUUUCAAAUUUCCCCUUUGAUUUGAAAAAUAAAAAAAACAACUUUCAAGAACUUUUUUCACUGCUGUUUUAUCCGAAUUUUUCUACUGUCCGAAUUUUUUACCUCUCUUCAAAUUUCUUUUUCUUUCUUAUAGAUCCAAAACCUCACUCAAAAUUUUGUUUUUAUUUUGGAUCUUCAACCUCUAUUUUUUUCGUUUCCAAAACCUUGUCUCAAGCAAAGCACACCCCUCCCUAUUUAUAGGAACAAAUUCGAACUUCAAGUCCGGAUUUGAAACCCUAAAAUUAAAAAAAUAGAAAGGAAAGGAGGGAGAUUUUAAAUUUUGAAUCAAGAAUCUCCUCCAAAUGGACUUUUCAGAGCCAUUAAUGGCCGAUUUUCACAAAAUGGGGACUGUUUCUUCUGAUUCUUUAGGGAUUUACUGGCUUGGGGUGGUUUGGGGGAGAUUCUCAUGCAGGUGUAGGCGGUUAUGUCUGCCAUGGCAGCAAACUAGGGUUAUGGCAUUUUUGGUGGUGGUGGAGAAGGGAGAAAGAAGAAAGAAGAAAAAGGGAUCGGCUGGUUAUUG
rnacentral:lncRNA from 1 species